UUGGCUUCUGGGCUCUGAGGCGGCAGCACGGGAUUGAACUGCUUGAGUGGUUCUGGCAAUGGAGCCUUUCAUGGCUUCACAACAUUGCAUUAUGUUCCACACAGGCUGAAAACAUGGAAAACCUCACUGAAAGCCUCACAGAGGUGCUGAAGGAUGAAGACAGGGAGGUGGUGUGGAUGACCCUCUCUGUGCUCAGUGAUGUCCUCCUGAACAGAGAUGUGCCAAUUGCCAGUUCCCUCGCUCUGCAGUUGGUUGAGGCAUUCUGGCCACUCUUUGACAAUGUAAGGCUCUGUGCCCCCCACCACAGAUACUGAGUGCUGCCAAGAAACUGCUCCCAUGUGGAUUUUCAGUUCCACACCCAAGUGGGCCUGGAGCAGUCAGUGCUGAAGUUCUUGCUCUCUUCCUUUGCACUAGGAUGACAGCCAUGUGCAGGUGCUCUCCAUUCGCCUCUUUCAAGCGGUGAUGGAGUUGGUAGAGGAAGAAGGAAAAAGGCCCCUGAAGGACUGCAUGCGGCAGAGCCUGCUCCCACUCUUCUACCACAUGUAUGAUGAGAACCAGUUUGUGGCAGAGGCCUCUUGGGAAGCCCUGCUUCAAGCAACAAUAUUCCUGAACAAGAGGAAUCUUGAGAAGCUGCUGGAGACAGAAGAGCUGUGGAGGUUUGGCGAGUGUCUGCUGGAAGAGGAGAGAGACAGAGCAGAUGGGUACCUGCGCCAGUCCGUGAUGUACCUUCAGAGCCCACAGAAGUCCAUACGAGAGGCAGCCAUCAGGCUCAUUGCCCUUCAAGGCACAACAAAUAACUGUAGCUCCUCCAUCUCAAACAUCGCAACUCAAAUCUUGGACUUUCUAAGAAUUGAAGAGAGAAAUCCUUACUCCAGAUUCAGGCUGCUGCAAAACCAGAUCCAUGAGGAGGCAAGCUUCUCUCUUGGAAAAUGGCUGGCCUUCUCUCUGGGAAAAUGUCUGGGGAUUGAGGAGCAGCCACCUGAAAAGGAUACCAGAUGUUGAAGACCACGGAAGAAGACCCCCGAAGAACCAUAUAAGGACUUCCAAUAAGGGGUGUGAUUAUGUAAAAUAAAGUAAAACAUAUACAUCAAGUAAGCAGGGAUAGCUAACAAAUAUGUAAAUCAGUGUGUAUGAUAAAAACUCUGUUUACCUGACAGGGCAAUUAAUUAGAGGAAGGAUCCUCUGAGUGACUAGUGUGCUGCAAUAAAGAAGGCCUGCUUUCUAAUACUCAAAACUGUUGUGGAAAGUUUCUACCUGGAAAAUUUUGGUAUUGUAUUCGCUAUAAAAUGAGUACUGAUUUCUUUAUGAAGGCUUUUAUUAUUCCUCCUGAAGAAGUCUUUCUUGUUGGAAAGCCUGACAGCUGGUCUUCUACCACCCAGACACGGCUGGCAUGUCCGCAGGGUCUCUUUGCAGAAAUGUCCCUGAAAAGGGAAAUCAGUCCAUGGUCACCCUCCUAACUGUGAGCUCAGUCUGCUACUUGAAAACUCAUUUCAAGUUGGGCAGCCAUUUGUGAUUCUUUUUUGAGGUGGCAUAAAUUCCUGGAGCUGGCCAUGUUUUUUGUACUUGGAUAACUAUUGCCUGUGUCCCUCCAUGGGAUUUAGCAUGAAACCAUCUAGCCACAGUUACUAAAUAUUCUUUGUCAGAAUUGGUAUUCCCCCAAUUGUCCACAUGCCAUCAUCAUUUUAGUAGCCUUUCAUUUUAUGCCAUUAUAUCUCUUCUUCUGUGGAGCAGUCCUUCUCAUACACUGUCUUAGGGUCUAUCAAAUUUGGCAUUUCCUCUGGUCAGCCAU
ensembl:lncRNA